rnacentral:rRNA from 1 species
UACGUAGGGUGCAAGCGUUAUCCGGAAUUAUUGGGCGUAAAGAGCUCGUAGGCGGUUUGUCGCGUCUGCUGUGAAAACUGGAGGCUCAACCUCCAGCCUGCAGUGGGUACGGGCAGACUAGAGUGCGGUAGGGGAGAUUGGAAUUCCUGGUGUAGCGGUGGAAUGCGCAGAUAUCAGGAGGAACACCGGUGGCGAAGGCGGGUCUCUGGGCCGUUACUGACGCUGAGGAGCGAAAGCGUGGGGAGCGAACAGG